ACCUGCGAUCGACAGAAGGUCGCUAUGUGUCCUCUGAAACAAUACCGGCUGUGAACUUGGGAAGUGAUGAUCCUUCCUCUCAAGGACGCACAGAACAGAGUAGUGUAAAGCAGCCGUCAGAGAGCAUGUUGAGUCCGGC